rnacentral:rRNA from 1 species
UACAGAGGGGGGCAAGCGUUAUUCGGAAUUAUUGGGCGUAAAGCGCACGUAGGCGGCUUUGUAAGUUAGAGGUGAAAGCCCAGGGCUCAACCCUGGAAUUGCCUUUAAGACUGCAUCGCUAGAAUUGUGGAGAGGUAAGUGGAAUUCCGAGUGUAGAGGUGAAAUUCGUAGAUAUUCGGAAGAACACCAGUGGCGAAGGCGACUUACUGGACACAUAUUGACGCUGAGGUGCGAAAGCGUGGGGAGCAAACAGG